UGCUUUGCACAGUGGCAGUAUCGUAGCCAAUGAGGUUAUGAGGUGUGAUUAUUGCUAAUUGGAAACUUUAAAUAUUAUCUUUCAUUAAUUCAUUCAGGAACUUUUCUGAGUGCCAACUAUAUACCAAGCACUGUUCUAGGCA